GGCUCAGGACGAACGCUGGCGGCGUGCCUAACACAUGCAAGUCGAGCGAAGUGCUUAGGACUGAUUCUUUCGGGAUGAAGUCUUAAGUAUCUUAGCGGCGGACGGGUGAGUAACGCGUGAGAAACCUGCCUUUUACAAAGGAAUAGCCUCGGGAAACUGGGAUUAAUACCUUAUGAUACUUUUAGUUCACCUGAACAAGAAGUUAAAGCGUAAAGCGGUAAAAGAUGGUCUCGCGUCCCAUUAGUUAGUUGGUGAGGUAAUGGCUCACCAAGACUACGAUGGGUAGCCGGCCUGAGAGGGUGAUCGGCCACACUGGAACUGAGACACGGUCCAGACUCCUACGGGAGGCAGCAGUGGGGAAUAUUGCACAAUGGAGGAAACUCUGAUGCAGCGACGUCGCGUGAACGAUGAAGGCUUUCGAGUCGUAAAGUUCUGUCCUAGGGGACGAUAAUGACGGUACCCUAGGAGGAAGCCCCGGCUAACUACGUGCCAGCAGCCGCGGUAAUACGUAGGGGGCAAGCGUUGUCCGGAUUUAUUGGGCGUAAAGGGUACGCAGGCGGCCUAUUAAGUCAGAUGUGAAAUCUUACGGCUCAACCGUAAUUAGCAUUUGAAACUGAAAGGCUUGAGUUAAGGAGAGGAAAGUGGAAUUCCUAGUGUAGCGGUGAAAUGCGUAGAUAUUAGGAGGAAUACCAGUGGCGAAGGCGACUUUCUGGACUUAUACUGACGCUGAGGUACGAAAGCGUGGGGAGCAAACAGGAUUAGAUACCCUGGUAGUCCACGCCGUAAACGAUAUAACUCGCUGUCGGCGAUACACAGUCGUGGCCAAGCGAAAGCAUUAAGUUAUUCACCUGGGGAGUACGACCGCAAGGUUGAAACUCAAAGGAAUUGACGGGGGCCCGCACAAGCGGAGGAACAUGUGGUUUAAUUCGAUGAUACGCGAGGAACCCUACCCGGGCUCGAACGGUGCAUGAAUAUACGAGAGAUGGUAUAGUCCUUCGGGACACGUAUCGAGGUGCUGCAUGGUUGUCGUCAGCUCGCGCCGUGAGGUGUCGGCUUAAGUGCCAUAACGAGCGCAACCCUCGUCAUUAGUUGCCAUCAGGUCAAGCUGGGGACUUUAAUGAGACUGCCACCGUAAGGUGUGAGGAAGGGGGGGAGGACGUCAAAUCAGCACGGCCCUUAUGUCCGGGGGGACACACGUGUUACAAUGGGAGGUACAGAGGGCAGCUAUCCGGUGACGGAAUGCUAAUCUCCAAAACCUUUCUCAGUUCGGAUUGGAGUGUGCAACUCGACUCCAUGAAGGUGGAUUCGCUAGUAAUCGCGCAUCAGCCAUGGCGCGGUGAAUAAGUUCCCGGGCCUUGUACACACCGCCCGUCA
rnacentral:rRNA from 1 species